AAAGUAAGUCAGCCUAAUUUCUUAGGGUCUUAAAUCAAGACAAAAAGAAAGCGGGGAAACCAACCUUGGGGCGUAUUUCUAAUGGAUCGCAAGUUAGAAAAGGAUAACUCUCAAUCCUAGCCCGUCAGCUAACCUCGUCGGCAGUGGGAGAAGACUG
rnacentral:sRNA from 2 species